rnacentral:tRNA from 1 species
GGGGUUAUAGCUUGGUGCCUGCCUGGCAAGCACAAGGUCCUGAGUUCAAUUCCCAGUACCCCCU